GGGUUACUCCUUGGCGCUUGCGCGCUGUUUUGAUGAAGAUUCGCACCUCUAUCAAAACGGGUAACCCCGCCUCUUGGUAAGGCAUUACUGUCAGAUCAAGUCUGAACUUCUACACGUGAUGCAAUGGACCUCGCCUAUCUGACCGGCCAGCGUCCCCAGGACACGCUA
rnacentral:sRNA from 1 species